CACCAGUUUUUGAAUCUUUCAUAAUUAUACCACCAGGUUAUUUUCCGUGUCUUUCGUGAUUCCUGCCUUUUUCAGAGCCAGUGAAUUAACCCAUACAGAAUGAGAUGUUUCUUCCAUUAUAAUGACAGAAUGUGUAUUUAUAACAUUGUCAAUAAUUUCUUUCGGUGGUCUUCCUCCAUUUUGGAUAUGGUCCAUAAUGAAUUCAAUCGAAUGACCGAGACCUAAAACCCAACCAG
rnacentral:lncRNA from 1 species